GGGACUGAUAGGAUUCUACAUUUUACUUUUUCUUAUACUCAUAUCAAAAAAUAUAUAACUGCUGUUAUUAAUCAAUUUUUUUCUAAGAAACAAUUAGUAUUUGCUUAAUAACUAAUUGAAUUCCAGUAAUUGACAGUGUCAAGUGUUAAUUAUCUUUGUAAAUAAUGACUGCAUUUGUUAUUAAGUUAAUUCAAUAUGUAUAAAAAACAUUAAGUGAGUUGUGUAAAAUGGACGUGGGUUCAAUUCCCACCAGUUCCA
rnacentral:tmRNA from 1 species